rnacentral:rRNA from 1 species
AUUGAACGCUGGCGGCAUGCCUUACACAUGCAAGUCGAACGGCAGCACGGGAGCAAUCCUGGUGGCGAGUGGCGAACGGGUGAGUAAUAUAUCGGAACGUGCCCAGUCGUGGGGGAUAACGUAGCGAAAGCUACGCUAAUACCGCAUACGAUCUAUGGAUGAAAGGCGGGGGAUCGCAAGACCUCGCGCGAUUGGAGCGGCCGAUAUCAGAUUAGGUAGUUGGUGAGGUAAAGGCUCACCAAGCCGACGAUCUGUAGCUGGUCUGAGAGGACGACCAGCCACACUGGGACUGAGACACGGCCCAGACUCCUACGGGAGGCAGCAGUGGGGAAUUUUGGACAAUGGGCGCAAGCCUGAUCCAGCAAUGCCGCGUGCAGGAUGAAGGCCUC